AGAGUAAUGCUUCUGAAAAUCUUAUGUCCUAUUUAUUCGUUUUCUCUAUUCUUGAUUCAUUAUUUCCGUGUUUGAUGAUUGGUUUGGUUCAAUUUCCUUGUUUGAUGAUUGGUUUGGUUCAAUGCUUCUAACUGUCAAAGAUAAUGCAAUUACUACUGACAAAUUUCUAUAUACCAUAUGACCUUGAUUGAUCCCAAAAUGACACUAAGUAAAUGUAAAACAUUAAAUUUAAAGAAUGGAUAAUGUUCUGUUGAACUAGAAUGGUUUUUAAGAAUGGGUAAUGUCUAUUGAACCAGAAUGGCUUUUAGGAAUGAGUUAUGUUCUAUUGAACUGAACUGCUCUGUCAGAGAUGGUUUAUAACGAAAUAAA
rnacentral:lncRNA from 1 species